rnacentral:rRNA from 1 species
CAGUAGUCACGAGUUUGAUCAUGGCUCAGAACGAACGCUGGCGGCAUGCCUAACACAUGCAAGUCGAACGAGACCUUCGGGUCUAGUGGCGCACGGGUGCGUAACGCGUGGGAAUCUGCCCUUUGCUUCGGAAUAACAGUUAGAAAUGACUGCUAAUACCGGAUGAUGUCUUCGGACCAAAGAUUUAUCGGCAAAGGAUGAGCCCGCGUAGGAUUAGGUAGUUGGUGGGGUAAAGGCCUACCAAGCCGACGAUCCUUAGCUGGUCUGAGAGGAUGAUCAGCCACACUGGGACUGAGACACGGCCCAGACUCCUACGGGAGGCAGCAGUGGGGAAUAUUGGACAAUGGGGCGAAAGCCUGAUCCAGCAAUGCCGCGUGAGUGAUGAAGGCCUUCGGGUCGUAAAGCUCUUUUACCAGGGAUGAUAAUGACAGUACCUGGAGAAUAAGCUCCGGCUAACUCCGUG